rnacentral:rRNA from 1 species
GAUGAACGCUGGCGGCGUGCCUAAUACAUGCAAGUCGAGCGAAAAGACGAGGAGCUUGUUCCUCUGACGUUAGCGGAGGACGGGUGAGAAACACGUGGAUAACCUCCUUAUCAGUCUGGUAAAAUCUCGGGAAACCGGAUAUAAUACGGUAUAAUCUCCUGAUCCGUAGGGUUGAAUGGAAAAUGACGGCUGUGCUGGAACGUCUCGAUGGAUCUGCGCCGCAUUGGCUAGUUGGGAGGGUAACGGCUUAUCAAGGGAACGAUGCGUAGCCGACCUGAGAGGGUGAUCGGCCACACUGGAACUGAGACACGGUCCAGACUCCUACGGGAGGCAGCAGUAGGGAAUCUUCCGCAAUGGGCGAAAGCCUGACGGAGCAACGCCGCGUGAGUGAUGACGGUCUUCGGAUCGUAAAACUCUGUUAUUAGGGAAGAACAAAUGUGUAAGUAACUAUGCACGUCUUGACGGUACCUAAUCAGAAAGCCACGGCUAACUACGUG